rnacentral:rRNA from 1 species
CCUACGGGAGGCUGCAGUGGGGAAUAUUGCACAAUGGGGGGAACCCUGAUGCAGCAACGCCGCGUGGGUGAAGACGUACUUCGGUUUGUAAACCUCUGUCAGCGGGGAAGAAAAUGACGGUACCUAACGAAGAAGCCCCGGCUAACUACGUGCCAGCAGCCGCGGUUAUACGUAGGGGGCGAGCGUUUUCCGGAGUUACUGGGUGUAAAGGGAGCGUAGGCGGGAAGGGAAGUCUGAAGUUAAAUCCCACGGCUCAACCUGGGGCCUGCGUUGGAAAUUGUGUUGCUGGAGUGCAGUAGGGGUAGGCGGAAUUCCUAGUGUAGCGGUGGAAUGCGUAGAUAUCAGGAAGAACACCGAUGGCGAAGGCAGCUCACUGGGCUUCAACUGACGCUGAGGCUCGAAAGUGUGGGGAGCAAACAGGAUUAGAUACCCUUGUAGUC